AGUGAACGCUGGCGGUAGGCCUAACACAUGCAAGUCGAACGGCAGCACAGUAAGAGCUUGCUCUUACGGGUGGCGAGUGGCGGACGGGUGAUGAAUACAUCGGAAUCUACUUUUUCGUGGGGGAUAACGUAGGGAAACUUACGCUAAUACCGCAUACGACCUGCGGGUGAAAUCAGGGGAUCUUCCGACCUUGCGCGAUUGAAUGAGGCGAUGUCGGAUUAGCUAGUUGGCGGGGUAAAGGCCCACCAAGGCGACGAUCCGUAGCUGGUCUGAGAGGAUGAUCAGCCACACUGGAACUGAGACACGGUCCAGACUCCUACGGGAGGCAGCAGUGGGGAAUAUUGGGCAAUGGGCGCAAGCCUGAUCCAGCCAUGCCGCGUGGGUGAAGAAGGCCUUCGGGUUGUAAAGCACUUUUAUUGGGGAAGAAAAGCAGCAGGUUAAUACCUCGCUGUUCUGACGGUACCCAAAGAAUAAGCACCGGCUAACUUCGUG
rnacentral:rRNA from 1 species